rnacentral:misc_RNA from 1 species
CCGAAAACAACUUCUUACAAACCAAUCGUGUGAAAUGUUUUGGGUUUUUUUACUCUAGGAGGUAGGGCUUAGUUGCUGUGAUAGUGACAAUAGUAGUGCCAGUGGGUAUGCGCUAUUGCCCUCCUAUCAUGCGAUGCUUGACGCUCUACUCUCCUAGAGGCCAUGAUGAACUACCUUCGGGUUGAUAGUAUCGUUCUUUUACCUUUGUUGUAAAACAAAAAAUAAAUGAUACGA